CAAAGCAAGUGUUUAAUUAUGGCACUUCCGGAUGGGUAUUUAGGUAUUUAACACAUGCAAGUCGUAUGAAAUAUAAACAUGGCGUACUGGUCAGUAUCAUUGGGAAGGUACCUCAAGAACUAUGGGAUUCAUAGAUAUAUAGAAAGGGGAGACCGGUCUUGAGAUUCGCUCAAUGCCUAACAGGUAGUUGGUGAGGUAAUGGUUAACAAGCCUAUGAGAGGUAGAGUUGCAUGAAAGUCUUAAGCUCGACAUUGGAAAUGAAAAAGUCCAAAUCAUCAAUCGAUGCGCAGCAGUGAAGAAUAUUGGUCAAUGCACUAAAGUGUGAACCAGUAACCUAGAUUAAAGUUAACUCUUUAUGUAGGAUUUUAGAAUAAUGAUCUUGAUCCCAAUAGUCCUGUCCAAAUUCUCUGCCAGCAGACGCGGUAAUACAGAGAGGGCGACCCAUCGGAGUUAUAAAUUGGUGUAAAGGGUACGUAGCCGGUGAACUAAGUGAUCACUAGAGUCAAAUGGAAGUACAAACAAUACCUAGAGUAGGGCUGAUAUCUUAUGAUCCUAGGGGGAGAACCAACGGCGAAAGCAUUGUACUAAGUAAAGACUGACGGUAAGGUACGAAGGCCAGGGCAGGAAUAGGGAUUAGAGACCCCAGUACUCCUGGCUGUAAACGAUGCAAAUUAAAGAUUAGUAGUAUCCUAUUGGUCUUGAUGCUAACGCGUUAAAUUUGCCACCUGUAAAGUAUAGUCGCAUGACCGAAAUACAAAUAAUUUGACGGCUUCUAAGCAAACGGAGUGAAGCAUGUUAUUUAAUACGAGGACCCGCGUACAAUCUUACCACAUCUUGCAUACCGUUAAUGAUCGAAAGGUCAACGUGUACAGGUGCUGCAUGGCUGUCGUCAGUUAGUGCUAGUAAGGCGUAAGGUUAAUUCCGUUAAACUAACGCAAUCCUCACUGUGAGUUUACACCUUGCAGUCUCAUCUUGAUAAAAGAUGAAUUUAGGAGGACUAUGACAAGCCCUCAUGGCCCUUAUGAUGUGGGCUAUAGACGUGCCACAAGAACAUACACAGAGUGAUGCAAUAUCGAAAGAAGGAGCUAACCAUAAAAAUAUGUUAAUGUACGGAUUGAAGUCUGGAACUCGACCUCAUGAAGUAGGAACUCCGAGUAAUCGCGCAUCACCACGGCGCGGUGAAACCAAAUCUUAGAAGUGUACUAACCGCUCGUCACGGGCUGAGAGGUCUAACGUCAUGAAGUUAUGGAAGGCUAGUUUUUAUAUAGGUCCUAGAGGCCAAGCGUAAGCACCCCUAUGGGGUAAUUAAUACUAGCCAACUGUUGCGACUGAUCACCACUGAUUGGUCUGAAGUCGAAACAAGGUAACCGUAGGGGAACCUGCGAUGGAAAGAUAACAAAU
rnacentral:rRNA from 1 species